UACAGAGGUCUCAAGCGUUGUUCGGAUUCAUUGGGCGUAAAGGGUGCGUAGGCGGCGCGGUAAGUCGGGUGUGAAAUCUCGGAGCUUAACUCCGAAACUGCAUUCGAUACUGCCGUGCUUGAGGACUGGAGAGGAGACUGGAAUUUACGGUGUAGCGGUGAAAUGCGUAGAUAUCGUAAGGAAGACCAGUGGCGAAGGCGGGUCUCUGGACAGUUCCUGACGAUGAGGCACGAAGGCCAGGGGAGCAAACGGG
rnacentral:rRNA from 1 species